GACCUGAGCUGCUGAAUCAGCUUUCUGGUUACUAUGGGCAACGGCCGUGUUUUCUUUUUGAUGUCCUUUGCAGUGGAUCACAGCUACCUGCUGAGCCACUCCCCCCUUCUCACCUUAAACACAAAUGGCAGCUCCUUCCCAUCGUUCCAAACCUUGGGGAUUGUCCAGCCAAAUUCUCUUCAGACACCAAAGCUUCACCCACCCUCUUCAUGGAGAUGAUGCAAGGGCAUCUGAGAUCUUUGGAAGCCCAAUUCUGGCCUCUCUUUGGGGUGGGCUGAGAGUGGGAACUAGACUCUCUUUCCAAGUGCCAUGUUUAUCUUGUUCAUCAUUAUAUUAUCUCCAAUGCCUGGCACAUAGUAGGCACUACAGACUGACACAUAGUAGGUGCUAUUAGUGUCUGUAUAAUGGGACUCUUGAGGUCG
rnacentral:lncRNA from 10 species